rnacentral:rRNA from 2 species
UGCCUCAGUAACGGCGAAGUGAAGCGGCAACAGCUCAAAUUUGAAAUCUCCCGACAGGGCGAGUUGUAAUUUGUAGAGGAUGUUUCGGGCACCGUCGCGGGUUAAUUUUCUUGGAACAGAAAGCCAUAGAGGGUGAGAGUCCCGUCUUGGCCCGCGGUAGGACCCAUGUGAAACUCCUUCGACGAGUCGAGUUGUUUGGGAAUGCAGCUCAAAAUGGGUGGUAAAUUUCAUCUAAAGCUAAAUAUUGGCCAGAGACCGAUAGCGCACAAGUAGAGUGAUCGAAAGAUGAAAAGCACUUUGAAAAGAGAGUUAAACAGUAUGUGAAAUUGUUGAAAGGGAAGCGCUUGCAACCAGACUCGAGCGCGGCGGUUCCCCCUGGCUUCUGCCUGGGCUACUCCGUCGCGACCGGGCCAACAUCAGUUCUCGGGGUCGGUUAAAGGUUCGAGGAAUGUACUCACUCCUUCGGGGGUGAACUUAUAGCCUCGUUCGUCAUGCGGCCACCGGGGACUGAGGAACGCGCUUCGGCGAGGAUGUUGGCGUAAUGGUUGUAAGCGACCCGUCUUGAAACACGGACCAAGGAGUCUAACAUCUAUGCGAGUGUUCGGGUGUCAAACCCUUGCGCGUAAUGAAAGUGAACGGAGGUAGGAAGGCGUACGCCUGCACUAUCGACCGAUCCUGAUGUCUUCGGAUGGAUUUGAGUAAGAGCAUAGCUGUUGGGACCCGAAAGAUGGUGAACUAUGCGUGAAUAGGGUGAAGCCAGAGGAAACUCUGGUGGAGGCUCGCAGCGGUUCUGACGUGCAAAUCGAUCGUCAAAUUUGCGUAUAGGGGCGAAAGACUAAUCGAACCAUCUGGUAGCUGGUUCCUGCC